UACAGAGGGUGCAAGCGUUAAUCGGAAUUACUGGGCGUAAAGCGUGCGCAGACGGUUGCGUAAGUCAGAUGUGAAAGCCCCGGGCUCAACCUGGGAAUUGCCUUUUAGACUGCAUCGCUUGAAUCAUGGAGAGGUCAGUGGAAUUCCGAGUGUAGAGGUGAAAUUCGUAGAUAUUCGGAGAACACCAGAAGCGAAGGCGGCCAACUGGCCCGAUACU
rnacentral:rRNA from 1 species